AACGAACGCUGGCGGCAUGCCUAACACAUGCAAGUCGAACGAGACCUUCGGGUCUAGUGGCGCACGGGUGCGUAACGCGUGGGAACCUGCCCUUAGGUUCGGGAUAACUCCCCGAAAGGGGUGCUAAUACCGGAUAAUGUCUUCGGACCAAAGAUUUAUCGCCUUUGGAUGGGCCCGCGUUGGAUUAGCUAGUUGGUAGGGUAAAAGCCUACCAAGGCGACGAUCCAUAGCUGGUCUGAAAGGAUGAUCAGCCACACUGGGACUGAGAAACGGCGCAGAAUCCUACGGGAGGCAGCAGUGGGGAAUAUUGGAAAAUGGGCGAAAGCCUGAUCCAGCAAUGCCGCGUGAGUGAUGAAGGCCUUAGGGUUGUAAAGCUCUUUUACCCGGGAUGAUAAUGACAGUACCGGGAGAAUAAGCACCGGCUAACUCCGUG
rnacentral:rRNA from 1 species